AAAGGUAUCGCAAACUUAGUCAUUCUCUCAAGGUCAGUCCCAAUUAGUGAACUUCUCAAUAUCACAACAAAGGUAUCGCAAACUUAGUCAUUCUCUCAAGGUCAGUCCCAAUUAGCGAACUUCUCAAUAUCACAACAAAGGUAUCACGAACUUAGUCACUCUCUCAAGGUCAGUCCCAAUUAGUGAACUUUUCAAUAUCACAACAAAGGUAUCGCAAACUUAGUCACUCUCUCAAGGUCAGUCCCAAUUAGUGAACUUCUCAAUAUCACAACAAAGGUAUCGCAAACUUAGUCAUUCUCUCAAGGUCAGUCCCAAUUAGCGAACUUCUCAAUAUCACAACAAAGGUAUCGCAAACUUAGUCACUCUCUCAAGGUCAGUCCCAAUUAGUGAACUUCUCAAUAUCACAACAAAGGUAUCGCAAACUUAGUCACUCUCUCAAGGUCAGUCCCAAUUAGUGAACUUCUCAAUAUCACAACAAAGGUAUCGCAAACUUAGUCACUCUCUCAAGGUCAGUCCCAAUUAGCGAACUUCUCAAUAUCACAACAAAGGUAUCGCAAACUUAGUCACUCUCUCAAGGUCAGUCCCAAUUAGUGAACUUCUCAAUAUCACAACAAAGGUAUCGCAAACUUAGUCACUCUCUCAAGGUCAGUCCCAAUUAGCGAACUUCUCAAUACUACAACAAAGGUAUCACGAACUUAGUCAUUCUCUCAAGGUCAGUCCCAAUUAGCGAACUUCUCAAUACCACAACCAAGGUAUCGCAAACUUAGUCACUCUCUCAAGGUCAGUACCAACACUGUCACAAGCUCUCCCUUCCUAGGCCAUUCCCUUGAGAUCAACUCCCUUUCUAAGCCAUUCAAUGCCUUAUGUAAAGAAGAGAGAAGGGAAGAGGAGGAAGAGAAGGGAAGAGGAAGAGGAGGAAGAAAAGGGAAGAGGAAGAGGAGGGAAGAGGAAGAGGAAAAAAGGAGAAAGGAAAGGAAAGGAAAGGUGAUACGAGAGAGAGAGAGAGAGAGAGAGAGAGAGAGAGAGAGAGAGAGAGAGAGAGAGAGAGAG